UUACCACUAUGCAAUGUCGAGAGACCAACCUCCUGAGGUAAUACCAAGCUUGUUCAUGCGACGCCUAGGCGUCGCAUAUGCGACCAUGCGCUCCAGCACAUGUAGGCGUUUGCCUUCAUGCGCUGGAGCGGGUUAGGCGGGUCCGGGUCGGAUCUGCCCCGGACCCGCCUAACCCAAUAGGUCUGUUUUAUUUUUUUUUAAAAAUUUUUAAUUUUUUUUUUUUAAUUUAAAUAUAAGGCCCAACCACCCAUUUAAAUAAGAGGUUGAGGGUUUUAAAAAACCCUAACCUCUUUUCUUUCUUGUUUCUUGCAUCUUUUUAACCCUAAAUUCAUAGAAGUCAUAUAAUCUAUGUAUUUACAUUUUAAAUUUUAGAUUAAUAGGUCUAUUACUUUGUAUUAGUAAUUUCAGGUUUUAAAAUUUAUGUAUAUAUUUUUUUAAAAUUACCCAUAUUUUUUAGCAAAUGUAUAUAAGUUCAGGGUAAAUUUGCAAAAUUUACCCUAUUUUCAGGCGACCGCCUAGGCGUCGCCUGAAGCGCCUAGGCGGCCAUGCGGUCAUGGCCAUCGCAUGACCGCAUGGUCGCCUAAAAAACCUUGGGUAAUACAACUAGUUAUUUUAUCAUUCGAUAUAAAUGCUAAAUGGGAAAGAGUCUAUGAGCUUAGCUCGUACCCCCAUAUAUCUUUUUAAUAUUCUAUCAUUCAAUGUACUCAGGGCAUUGUCUUUCAUUACCAUUUUUUUAUGAAGAUAAAAUUUCAUUAAAAAUGAAGCGGCCUUGCCUAGUAUUACAAUAUAUAACAAUAAAGCAUAAAAGAUUGCCCCUUUAAUAGACAAGCACUUCUGCUGAGCAGACUAUGCUCUCUAGGGGUAGCAUAGAAUAAAAUCAGAUUUUAUAACAGAUAAAACAGAAUUAUGAGCUCAGCAGCUGUUGCCUCAUGCCUUGCCUAGUAUUACAAUAUAUAACAAUAAAGCAUAAAAGAUUGCCCCCUUAAUAGGCAAGCACUUCUGCUGAGCAGACUGUGCUCUCUAGGGGUAGCAGUAGAAUAAAAUCAGAUCUAAUAACAGAUAAAACAGAAUUUUGAACUCAGCAACCGCUGCCUCAUGCCAUUGACUUCAGCUAAGACCAAAUCAGGGAGCUUAGCUUUAACCUCAAAGCAGAUUUAUGAGUUCUUUAUAACCUCAACUACAACCACAUCCUCAGAUUUGAAACUGCCACAGGUUCCAUGUAAUACCCCCAAUUAAUGUCUAGAGGAGUCUCCAACAAUUAGAGCCAGACCUUAGAGAUUGGAUGCAAUCAAGCACUCAUCAGCCUGUGGUACCUUCAAGUUCAUAUUCUUCCAAAUAAUAUGGUUGGUAUAUUCAUAACAAGCUAUAAGAAUGUGUCUGGAAAAAGGGCAGUUGAAAAAGAAAUGACCAAUGAUUCUAGGCUCCUGGUUACAAAGGAUACAAAGGCUAGGAGCAGGGACCCCCAUAAUCUGAGGGUACUAAUGGAUGAAAAGUAUCCCCAUCUCAGCCUCCAUAGGAAGACUGAGAAUUUGGUGGUUUUUUGGAUCACAUACAUUUUGCUAAGGGGUCAGUUUGUCUAGGG
rnacentral:lncRNA from 1 species